CCCACUGCUGUGCAUGCCCGCUUGCCCACAUGGCCCCUUUGCCGGCAUCUCCUACCCCAAGGCUCCAGAACAGGAUUCUGAACGAAAGCUCAUCGGCAGCAGGCUCAGAUGUGGAAUUCUGUCCUGCUUUACCCAGCUUGCGGGAUCUUGGUUCAUGACCUGGGGGGUCAGGCCGAAGCUCCUGCGGUGGGAGCUCCAAGUCUGAACUGCUGACUAACAGAGAACCUCAGACACCAGGGAAUGUUCACUGGAGUGAGGUCUCAUGGAGGUCCUCAUCUCAGCACCAAGACCCAGCUCUACCCAACAGCCUACAAACUCCAGUGUUGGAAGCCUCAGGCCAAACAACCAGUAAGCUCCUAGUGAAAGCCCAGAGGACUGAGGUAAGUCCUGAAGCAUGGGUCUAUUUGUCUCCGCUGUGCAAGUUUUUAAGCCUGAUGCUGUCUUCCUGCCCUGGACAAUGUUUGAUGCUCUUUCUUCCAUGCUUCCAUGCUUCCAUAGCAGUUUACACAGACCUCUUCUAUUGUAUUUAUCUUGUGAUACUGUCAUUACGUUUUUAAAUAUGUGCAUCUUACUUUUGCUUACCUUCAACCUAACACGAAGUCUGACGCAUGGUAGGCAUCCAAUAAUAAACAAAUCAAGGAAGGAAUAUGUGCACACCACUCCAGGACAUGCACUGAAGUGCACCCUGGAGUGGAUGGUAGAUACAUAAUCAUCUACAAUUGCUCUGUCAAUAUGACAUCUACUCACUACAUGUAGUUGUUGAGCACUUGAAAUGUGGCUAGUCCACAUUGAGAUGUGCUGUAAGUAUAUAUGCACAUAUUUAUUAUGAAGCAUUAUUAAGA